rnacentral:rRNA from 1 species
UCAAGCUACAAAGAGCGUAAGGGGAAUGCCUUGGCACCAGGAGCCGACGAAGGACGCAGCGAUCUGCGAAAAGCCACGGGGAGCCGAAAGCAGGCUUUGAUCCGUGGAUAUCCGAAUGGGGAAACCCGCAUGGUUAAUAGCCAUGCGACGUAUACUGAAUAAAUAGGUAUGCGUCGGGAACCGUCUGAACUGAAACAUCUAAGUAGGACGAGGAAAAGAAAUCAACCGAGAUUCCGUAAGUAGUGGCGAGCGAACACGGAAGAGGCCAAACCGAAGGUAGCAAUAUCUUCGGGGUACGGACAGUAAACGGCAUUGCGGUAUCUUAGCAGAAGUGCAUGGGACGGCACACCAUAGAGAGUGAUAGUCUCGUAAGCGAAAAGAGAAGGCAGCCAACUGUAUCCAGAGUACCGCCGGACACGUGAAACCCGGUGGGAACAUGGGGGGACCAUCCUCCAAGCCUAAAUACUCCCUGGUGAAUGUCACUGGCAAGGUUAAGCUCUUCAGGAGUGCAGCCGAAGCGAAAGCGAGUCUGAAAUGGGCGUUUUAGUCAGUGGUAUUCGACCCGAAACCGGGUGACCUAGCCAUGAGCAGGCUGAAGUGGAGGUAAAACUCCAUGGAGGGCCGAACCCACUCCCGUUGAAAUGGUAGGGGAUGACUUGUGGCUAGCGGAGAAAUUCCAAUCGAACCCGGAGAUAGCUGGUUCUCUCCGAAAUAGCUUUAGGGCUAGCCUCAAUUAACAUUACCGCAGGUAAAGCACUGAAUGAGCUAGGGGGCGAAAGCUUACUGAACUCUAUCAAACUCAGAAUGGCGGAUAAUGAAUGAUUGGGAGUCACACUACGUGAGAUAAGUUUCGUGGUGGAAAGGGAAACAGCCCAGACCCACAGCUAAGGUCCCAAAGUACAGUUAAGUGGAAAAGGAUGUGAAGUUGCGCAGACAACCAGGAUGUUGGCUCAGAAGCAGCCACUCAUUCAAAGAGUGCGUAAUAGCUCACUGGUCGAGUGAUUUUGCGCCGAAAAUUUAACGGGGCUAAACUGUACACCGAAGCUUGGGAAUAUACCUUAUGGUAUGUUGGUAGGAGAGCGUCGUAUGCGGGGUGAAGUCGUAGCGAAAGCGGCGGUGGACUGCAUAGGAGUGAGAAUGCCGGAAUGAGUAGCGAGAAUUAUGUGAGAAUCAUAAUGGCCGAAAGACUAAGGUUUUAGAAGGAAGGUUCGUCCGCUUCUAGUUAGCCGGGAGCUAAGGCGAGGCCGAAAGGCGUAGUCGAUGCACAUACGGUGGAGAUUCCGUAGCCGCCAUUAAUUUAAACAGAGGGACACUUUCAAGGGGCAUGACCCGGGCGUUGGUAGACCCGGGCGUAAGGGACCGAAGAUUAGUAGGGAAGCAUGCUUUAAGGAAGGCGAGAAAAGCUCUGUGUAUAGAAGAUGGCGCCCGUACCGCAAACCGACACAGGUAGUCAGGAAGAGAAUUCUAAGGCCAACGGGAGAAGGGUAGUUAAGGAACUCGGCAAAUUGACCCCGUAACUUCGGAAUAAGGGGUGCUCACGAGAGUGAGCCGCAGUGAAUAGGUCCAGGCAACUGUUUAUCAAAAACACAGCUCUCUGCUAAAUCGUAAGAUGACGUAUAGGGGGUGACACCUGCCCGGUGCUGGAAGGUUAAGAGGAGGAGUGCAAGCCCCGAAUCGAAGCCCCAGUAAACGGCGGCCGUAACUAUAACGGUCCUAAGGUAGCGAAAUUCCUUGUCAGGUAA